rnacentral:tRNA from 1 species
GCCCUACCUAUUUCUUAUCUUACUCUCUCCUUUUGUUAUUGGUUGAAAGUUACUUAUCUUUCUCAUUCAUCCUAUUCUUUUACAUUUUACAAGCGUAUCCGAGCAUCAUUUUUUCUUUUUCUCUUAUCACAAAUAUAGGUGCAAAUCAACAUCUUUGAGUAAGGAAUACCCAUUUGAAUGAUUCAAAAUAAUUACUCAGACUGAAACUUACAUACAACGUCGUCACUUCGAAGAUUCCAUAAAUUCCCGUUCGCUACUUUGACUUUUAUUUUAAAACUUUUUUUCGUCUUUUUUUUUUUUUAUUUUUUAUUGACAUAAACUCAAGUCCUCUAUUAAAAUGAAACAAUGUUGGGAAAUGGUCGGGAUAGCUAAGCUGGUAAAGCAGAGGACUGAAAAUCCUCGGGU